CGGUUAUGUGAUAAAACCGGCUUUGUGGAACACCCCACUGGACACUGUCUCUGAACCGGACCCUGGACUCACUAUGGAACCUGAGGACAAGUCUUUGGACCCGAGGAAGACCAGCCACAGAAGAUUUGCCCUAAAGUCCUGCAACAUUGUCUUGCUGAUAUUCGGACUGCUGAGUAUUCUCUUAAUCUCCCUGCAGUUCAGUUCAGUGAUGCUCACGGAGGAGGAGGAGGAGGCCCCCAGCAUCACAGAGUUCCAC